rnacentral:rRNA from 1 species
GACGAACGCUGGCGGCGUGCUUAACACAUGCAAGUCGAACGGAAAGGCCCUGCUUUUGUGGGGUGCUCGAGUGGCGAACGGGUGAGUAACACGUGAGUAACCUGCCCUUUACUUUGGGAUAACUUCAGGAAACUGGGGCUAAUACCGGAUAGGAGCUCCUGCUGCAUGGUGGGGGUUGGAAAGUUUCGGCGGUUGGGGAUGGACUCGCGGCUUAUCAGUUUGUUGGUGGGGUAGUGGCUUACCAAGGCUUUGACGGGUAGCCGGCCUGAGAGGGUGACCGGCCACAUUGGGACUGAGAUACGGCGCAGACUCCUACGGGAGGCAGCAGUGGGGAAUAUUGCACAAUGGGCGGAAGCAUGAUGCAGCAACGCCGCGUGCGGGAUGACGGCCUUCGGGUUGUAAACCGCUUUCGCCUGUGACGAAGCGUGAGUGACGGUAAUGGGUAAAGAAGCACCGGCUAACUACGUG